rnacentral:rRNA from 1 species
UGGGGAAUAUUGGGCAAUGGGCGCAAGCCUGACCCAGCCAUGCCGCGUGAGUGAUGAAGGCCUUCGGGUCGUAAAGCUCUGUGGAGGGGGAAGAAACCUCUUGUGGCUAAUAUCCACGAGAAUUGACGGUACCCCUUUAGCAAGCACCGGCUAACUCCGUGCCAGCAGCCGCGGUAAUACGGAGGGUGCAAACGUUGCUCGGAAUCAUUGGGCGUAAAGCGCACGUAGGCGGCUCGUUAAGUCGGAUGUGAAAGCCCUGGGCUCAACCCAGGAAGUGCAUACGAAACUGGCGAGCUUGAGUAUGGAAGAGGGUCGCGGAAUUCCCGGUGUAGAGGUGAAAUUCGUAGAUAUCGGGAGGAACACCAGUGGCGAAGGCGGCGACCUGGGCCAAUACUGACGCUGAGGUGCGAAAGCGUGGGGAGCAAACA